CGACCGCCGGCCCCUGGGGCGGAGAGUUGAAACUGCUCCGGGAUGCAAUACUGCUCCCGAAGCCGUUCAACGUUCGGCCCCGAAAGCGAGGAAACCUCAACUUCCGGAGUCGAUCGGGAGUCGUCAGUCGGAUUUCCCGACCUAGCUCCCUGAGUCGGAUUUCCGACCAUUACACCGGAACCGAACAAGAAGAGGAAGAAGCGAAGAGGAGGAAGAAGAAGAGGAGCGGAAGACCACGAACCGGCACCGAAUCCUUCCGGAAGCAGGAGGAA
rnacentral:lncRNA from 1 species